rfam:Octopus bimaculoides Scaffold47441_contig_84, whole genome shotgun sequence.
GGGGAAUUAGCUCAAAUGAUAGAGCGCUUGUUUAGCAUGCAAGAGGUACCGGAAUCGAUACCCGGGUUCUCCA